GACGAACGCUGGCGGCGUGCUUAACACAUGCAAGUCGAACGGAAAGGCCCUGCUUGUGGGGGGUGCUCGAGUGGCGAACGUGUGAGUAACACGUGAGUAACCUGCCCUUGACUUGGGUAUAACUUCAGGAAACUGGGGCUAAUACCGGAUAGGAGCUCCUGCUGCAUGGUGGGGGUUGGAAAGUUUCGGCGGUUGGGGAUGGACUCGCGGCUUAUCAGCUUGUGGGUGGGUUAGUGGCUUACCAAGGCUUUGACGGGUAGCCGGCCUGAGAGGGUGACCGGCCACAUUGGGACUGAGACACGGCCCAGACCCAUACGGGAGGGAGCAGUGGGGAAUAUUGCAAAAUGGGCGGAAGCCUGAUGCAGCCACGCCGCGUGCGGGAUGACGGCCCUCGGGUUGUACACCGCUUUCGCCUGUGACGAAGCGUGAGUGACGGUAAUGGGUAAAGAAGCACCGGCUAACUACGUG
rnacentral:rRNA from 1 species